AAACAUACUGUAAAUAAAUGUUCCUUUAAUAAAAUAUUUCCUCUCUCCUCCCACCGAAACGGGUGCCUGUGUUCUGUGGAGAAAAAUAGAAAUUGUAAUUCCGUGUUUGGUUUAAAUUUUAGACUGACGCGAUACGAGUUUGACUGCUUUUCUUCAUUCUUCUGAAACAUUUGAAAUUGGAGUUCGAGACAGAGCAGCGAUCUUUAGCAGGACUGAAACAGCAUAUAAGGAUGACUUAAGCUAUUCAGCAGUGAUGUGGAGAACAUGUAAAACACAAGUCUCAUAUGAAUAUGCUACUGUCUAUUUAAUAUGGUAUGAUGGAUGUUCACAGCAGCACAGAAAUAAGUGAAACUGCACAUAUGCUUCCUCCUCCCCCAGGCACUUUUGUAGAUCGUGAAGAACUCAUCCAACAUGUUGGAGACUUUGCUGUGUCCCAGGGGUAUGUAGUGACUAUCAAGCAAUCCAAGAGGGACAAAAUAGUUGUACUUGGCUGUGACAGAGGAGGUGUUUAUCGCAACCGGCGAAAACCUGUUGAGGAGUCCUCAGCUGAGCAAAGCCGCAAAAGAAAAAGUGGUUCUCGUCUAACAAAUUGUCCUUUUGAAGCUGUGGGCAAGAAGGAUGAUGGCUUGUGGGUACUCACCAUAAAAAAUGGAACACACAAUCAUGAACCAUUAAAGGACAUGUCAGAACAUCCUUCUGCCCGUCGCUUCACAGAGGAAGAAGUUUUUCGCAUUAAAGAAAUGACAGAUGCUGGUUUGAAACCUCGACAAAUUCUAAAGAGACUGAGACAAAGCAAUCCAGAACUUUUGUCAACCCCAAAGCAUGUUUAUAAUGUUAAAGCUAAGCUUAGGCAAGGAAACACAAAUGUUAGGAAUUUUAAGUCCUUGAGACCUGAGAAAUCUGCUGGGAGAAACAACUAUCUUGCUGUAAUUGAACCGUCAUGGAGGCAGUGCAACCCUGUGAGGGUUCCCAAUCUUAUUGGAGGCAGAUUUGUUGAUUCACUGUCUUGUGCAUCAAUUGAAAUUUUAAAUCCUGCAAGCCAGCAAGUUGUUUCUCAAGUUCCAAUGACUACAUGCGAGGAGUUCAAGGCAGCAGUCUUUUCUGCAAAACGGGCCUUUUCAUUGUGGCGCAACACACCAAUUACCACCCGGCAGAGAAUCAUGUUUAAGUUCCAAGAGCUUAUUUGUAGAGACAUUGAUAAGAUUGCAAUGAGUAUUAGUACUGAACAUGGAAAAACGCUGCAAGAUGCACAUGUUGAUGUGUUACGUGGGCUAGAGGUUGUUGAACAUGCUUGUGGCAUGGCAAAUCUGCAAAAAGGAGAAUUUAUUCCCAAUGUGUCCAAUGGAAUAGACACAUACAGCAUUAGAGAGCCACUUGGUGUUUGUGCUGGUAUUUGCCCUUUUGACUUUCCAGCUAUGAUUCCCUUAUGGAUGUUUCCUCUUGCUGUCACAUGUGGCAAUACAUUCAUUCUAAAACCAUCAGAGCAGAAUCCAGCAGGGGCAUCUGUGAUGCUGGCAGAGUUAGCAAUAGAGGCUGGUUUACCUAAUGGUGUGUUAAAUAUUGUUCAUGGUACAAAUGACAUUGUCAAUUCUAUCUGUGAUGAUGAUGAUAUAAAGGCUGUCUCAUUUGUUGGUUCAAAUACAGUUGGUGAUUCUGUAUAUGCAAGAGCAUCUACUAAAGGUAGAUGGGUUCAGUCCAAUAUUGGAGCCAAAAAUCAUGCUGUCAUAAUGCCUGAUGCAAGAGUAGAUUCCACUUUGAAAGCUUUGGUUACAGCUGGUUUUGGUGCUGCUGGACAGAAGUGCACAGCGCUGAGUGCUGUUGUUUUUGUUGGAAGUUUCAGUCAAUGGGAAGACAAACUAGUAAACCAUGUCAAAGCGCUUAAGGUUAACGCUGGAACAGAACCAGACGCAGACCUUGGUCCAGUCAUUAGUAAACAGGCUAAAGAACACACUUGCCGAUUGAUUCAAACAGGCUUGGAAUCUGGUGCAAAACUAGUGCUUGAUGGGAGAAACAUUGUGGUUCCAGGAUAUGAACAUGGAAACUUCAUUGGUCCCACCAUUUUAUCAGAUGUCACAGUUGAUAUGGGAUGCUACAAGGAUGAGAUUCUAGGCCCAGUUCUUCUGUGUAUGGAGGUUGAUAACAUACAAGAAGCCAUAAACAUCGUCAAUAGCAACAAGUGCUACAGAUUUUAGCUUCUCUUGAGCUUUUCAUAUAUAUAAAAUUUUACUUAUCUACAGUACUUAAUUGUUUGUCAUUCUAUAGGUAUGGUAAUGGAGCUUCCAUUUUUACAACAUCUAAUGCAGCUGCAAGAAAAUUCCAGACCGAGGUUGAGGUUGGACAGGUUGGCAUAAAUGUCCCGAUCUCUGUUUCAUUGCCCUUUUCUUCAUUUAUUAGCUCCAGGCCAUCUUUUGUUGGUGAUUUGAGUUUUGAUGUCAGAGCUGGAAUUCAGUUUUACACGCAGAUUAAGACAGUGACUAAAAAAUGGACAGACUCAUUAGAUGGAGAUGAAAUAUCUCUUGAAAUACCUUUUGCUUAGAAGCUAUCAAUAUUCAUGUGAAUUUUUGCUGUUCCUUUUUAACCUCCAUUUCGGGAAAGCUGUAUAUACCUAGACCAUGUAUAGACUUUCAUUCAUAAUUUUCCUUUCACUAGUUACUAGGUACUAUUUGUUUGAGCUGGAGUCAACUUUUUCUGUUCCUGGUAAUGCCUCGGAGUGCUGUAAGUAAUUUUUUGUCGAGAAUCCUAUCAAGCAAAGAUGCUAUCAUAU